UAUUAUUGUAAAGCGCCUGGGCUAUGAGGAACGUAAACAACCAUAGCUGACGAGGAGGAGGUUUAUCGAGUUUAAUCGGCGGAUACCUCCCGGUUGUACAUCUCAACCGAUAUGUUUUGAUUCGAAACCGAAAAGGCAACUUUUUGUACAAGAAUAAAAACGAGAUGACCA
rnacentral:ncRNA from 2 species